CACGCAAAGAAGACUAUUAAAGAGCUCCAGUCAGGUAACCCUUCCUUUUCCAGCUACAACGCGCAGGGUGGAAACACUGCGCACGCGAGCUGAACGAGGACGGGCGGCCAUCGACGCUUCGUCGAAUGUUCCAGAAUCCUCGAACUUGAGUGACAGCUGAGGCGAAUGCAGUAAUUCGAAAUGAAAGUGGAAGAGGAGGAGGAGGAGGAGACAGAGGAGGAGGGAAGUCAUAUGAGUAAGAGAAACAUGAAGGAUAGCACGAGGAAGAGGAAGUCUUGCUCCCAAGGGCAGAACACUAGAGUCACCUUUUAAAACAAAAGGGGCUCCAGUUGGCAGUAACAACGCCACAGGAAACAACUGCUGUCCGACUUCAUGAUGAAGAGUCCGGGCACUGGACAAGAGAAAAGGGGUCACUGAGAAAGUGCCCAGGUUUGUCCAAAUGUACCAGAGCCAUAACCCAGAGGGAGAAGCUUGGGAUCUGAAAAUGGAGGCCUCAGCAUUCUCAGCAAGUCUGCUAGCACGCUGCUGAAAAGUGGUCUGAAGUGCUUUGGCAGGAUACCUUUUCCACCCACUGCGUAUGUACUUGUGUCAAUCACCUGUUUUACUUGGGGGAAAAAAAUAGGUGGGUAACAGGGCUCCAGACUGCGCCUAAAAUAUUAAAUUAAUUUGCGAGUGAUAUUUUUGCUGAGCUCGCCAGUGCUGCACAAAAAAACACCGUUAGCGCGUGCAGCGUCUCAUGCAUGCGAACUGCAUGACGGAAAGAAUGGAAGGAGCUAAAAAUAAAAUUCAGCACAGCUAUAUGAUCGCAUGUGAAGAGCUGCCUUUCACUAAAUUUACCUCUCAGAUAUUACUUAUGAACUUAAAUAAAACGGACUUGAUGUGUGCAAGACGUAUAACACUGAUGCAUGUGCUGACUUAAUAGGAUGCUUUGCAGAUGAGAUUAAAGAACAAGUACUGACAGACUCUCAGACAGCGAAUUACACCUCUAUUAUCACUGACUGUGACACAGACAUUUCUGGGAAAAACAAUGUUAUUGCAUAUUACUGCAGCCUGCAGGCACAUUUCUGCAGGUGUAGCAGUGAACGGUUUAUUGGUUUAGCUGAGCUUGAACACUCCCAUGCAUAUGGAGUAUUAGAUAAAAUAAAUGCUGUUGGUGAUGCUAAACAAACCGAUCAUGAUUGGUGGCAGACAAAAAUUACAGCCUUUGGAGCAGUUAGGGCCAGCGUUAACAUGGGUGCCUCAGGUGGAGUAGGUGCACUCCUAAGAGAAGAAAUUCCAUUGUCAUACAUCGCUUUCCUUUCAUUCUAUGUCACACAGACUGGAAUUAGCCAUGCUGGGUGUUUAGAAGUCUCUUCCAACGAUUGAAAAAGUCUGACUUGCUACAGCUAGUAUGGAAAACAUACCAUUUUAGCCCCAAAAGCAAGAAUGAGUUGAAAGCCAUCGGUAUGGAGUUAGGCUGUGUCAUACGAACACCUUCUGCAGUGAAGACCCAGCGCCGGUUGCCUCACGUUACCGGUUCAUUCUACGUGGCGCUUAAAAAAAUAAUUUGGUGCCUGUUUUUUUCCCUCAUCGGAGCCAAUGGCUCCUUAAUUGAUUUUUUUUGUCUGGAGCCCUAUGGGUACCUGCUGGGUAGCGCAUGCUUUAUGCCGUGCCUGUCAUGUUGUCAUGUGCUCCUUAUGCUGAUACUCAGGGACACAUGAUUGCAUGUGGGGGAAAGCCCUCUUCCACAUGUCCAAGGAUUCAUGUGAAGAGGAGGCCGGGAACAGAUCAUAAAUGGAUCUCCUGUACCACGAAACUUGCUACCUUUAGCAAAUAAAGGACUCGGGUGGUGAAAAUAUUCUCUCUCUUUUAAGGAAAUAUUUUACAAUAUUUUACUGACACUCUUUUUCAGGCUGCCUGAUAAUGAAGAAUGCAGUUAAUACUUGUAAUGUAUCUGUAAAAGAUGAGAGUUGUAAAAGUUGUUUCUAAGAUUCUCUGUCAUUUCUGGAAUUGUUGCCAUAUUUGGUAUGCGUAUUUCAGUUACGUACAUGAAAUUUGCAACAAAAGAAAUGCACAAAAUGAAAGCUGAACUAAAAAAAAAAAAAAAAAAAAAAAA